rnacentral:rRNA from 1 species
UACGAAGGGGGCUAGCGUUGUUCGGAAUUACUGGGCGUAAAGCGCACGUAGGCGGACAUUUAAGUUGGAGGUGAAAGCCUUGGGCUCAACCUUGGAACUGCCUUUGAUACUGGGGAUCUGCGAGUCCGGAAGAGGUUGGUGGAACUGCGAGUGUAGAGGUGAAAUUCGUAGAUAUUCGCAAGAACACCAGUGGCGAAGGCGGCCAACUGGUCCGGUACUGACGCUGAGGUGCGAAAGCGUGGGGAGCAAACAGG